GGGUCCGUGGUCUAGUGGUAUGACGUCGCCCUUACAAGGCGAAGAUCGUCGGUUCGAUCCCGACCGGACCCA
rnacentral:tRNA from 1 species